GUCGGAGGUGGGUCUUCAGAGUUGGGUUGUCAUCCUUGAUUCAUCGUCGGGUAGAGAACUAGGUCGUCGCCUUGUCAGAGGUGGGUAGUCGGCUAGUCACUACUCACUAGGUUUGAUCGGAGGUGGGUCGAUGGAUCAGAGUUGGGUUUGAUCGGCGGAGGGAAGCUAGCGAGCUACGAGAGGUUCGCGAGCUGCGGAGGGAAUUAUGGAUUAGGGAGGGUGUGAAGAAUGGAGAUCUUCCGGUGAACAACUGACCUUCGGGUAGCUGAUAACAGUCACUGAAAAUGCAGAGGCAGCAUGCCAGCGUCUGAGGCAGAUUGAAAACCCAGAUAGAUACUCUGGACGAAAUCUUCACAUCGUCGAUUUAGGGUUUCUGGUUUCACGCGGGGAACUUCGGCGGGAAAAUGUUUGGGGAUCCACGGAAAAAAGCUCCGUUGACCGAUUGGGGUUUUCAUUUGGGCGGUGGACCCACUGGCCCAACUACCCAACAACUUUUC
rnacentral:lncRNA from 1 species